GGCCUGGUAGCUCAGCUGGAUUAGAGUAUUUGGCUACGAACCAAAGGGUCGGGGGUUCGAGUCCCUCCCAGGUCACCA
rnacentral:tRNA from 1 species